UGGGUAACUAUCCUUGUUAAUCUCUUGGCUUCUCCCUCCUCACUCCCCUGUCCCUGGUGCUUUCAAGACUUCUCAUCUUCCCCCCACAAUAGUUAAAUUUUGAUUGUCCCCUUCUGCACAGCUCAUUGUGUUAUGUGUAACCUUGACUUCAGGGCUCCUGCUAAAAGCUGUGCAAAGGGACAGUGUCAGUUUCAGAAUCUGUCUCUCCCACUGUCCACCUGAAUUCUUCAGUCCCGGAAGGCGUGUGUCCUGCUCCGAUCUCCUCUGCCUGGACAUUCUGGGAAUGGAUUUGUAGAGUUAGAUGCGCUUCUUUCCACCCCUCCCAUGGUUUCUGCUUUCUGAGUCACACUCUACCCUUCCAUUAUUUCUUAUCUUUCCUCACAAAGCCUCCCUGGCCUGGCAGCUAGUCCAGAGAAGCAAGAAUCACCAGCUUUAGCAAUUGUGAAUUUGAAUCACAAUCACAGAUUUUCUUUCAAUGUAUUCAAAGAGGUCCAAGCGCAUGGUAUCAAGGAGCUCUGUGAUGUCUGCCACAGAGACAGCAGGUAGCCCCACCUCUCCCACCUCCAUGCCCACCACUCAGAGGUGGCUCCUGCCACCUCUUCCGGCUGGUUUGUCCUGUGGUCACCAUGCAGUGCUAUAGAGCAUCCACAUGCUUUGUUUCUUGGGUUUCCUUGGUGGACAGUAUCUGAUGAGUCCUGAAGUGUAAGGUGCAGAUGUGGCUUCUCACACCUCUCACCUGCUGCUGCCACACAGAGGCACGUGAGCACACACAGACACAUGUCCACUUUCCCUUUCCCAAAGCAGCGCCAACUUCCAUCCAUCAUGACAAUCAGUUUCUUUCUUGUCGACUUUUCUCCCUGGAAUUAAUGCUGUGUCUCUUUAUAUCCAUUUAGAUUUCUAAGGAGUCAUAAUCAAUGCACCCACUGCCUCCCUAAUAGAAGGAAAAGUCGGCUCUUCACAUGCUGGGUUAUUUUUUUUUUUUUCUUGCAGACAUCUAUCGGGAGUUUUCUGUCUCCCUCCUCUAAGGAGCUGGGCCCCUGUGGAGCUGUUCCCAUGGGAGUUUCCUUUACAGCCAGCCUGGGAAUUAUCUUAUUCACAUGUUUUUGUCUUCUGAGUUAGAUGUAUCUUUCUGGAAUCCAUCUCUUCCUCUUUCUCAAUGUAAUUCCGCAUUUACUGGAGUUCAUCUUCUAACACAGAUUCCAGAGGAAGUAAAUCUUGAGACCUUGCUCAUCUGAAGGCAUUAUUGUACCCCUUUACUUAGCUGAGGGUUUGGGUGCAAAUUAGAUACAGGUGAAAAGUAACUCUUCCUCUGCUGAGUUUUGAAGAUGUUGCUCACAUUCUCAUUUCAUUAGUUGCCUUUGCAAAGCCCGUUCCUGUGGCUUUUUGCUAAGUAGCAAACUCACAGAUCCUGGUACUUAAAGGAUGACUUAUCACCUCUCAUGAGGCUCCUGUGGGCUGACACCCUCCAGCUGGAGGCACAUGAGCCAUCCCUCAUGCUGGCACCCAGCGGGGCAUAGCUGCAGACGGGGCUCAGCGGGUGGCUGGGUCUCGUUCCUGGGUCUUCAUUUCCAAGGGCUUGUUUGCAUGUGGCUUCCUCGAACAGGAUCAGCUGUGUCCAGGAUGGUAAGAUCCCAAUCACAGUAGCAGGUUAGUGGUCAUUUUCUGGCCUCAUAUUUGCUCAUGCCAUUGGCCAGAACAAGCUCCAUGGCUGACCCCAGAGACAGUUUGAGAGAUGGUCAAUCAGAACAUGGGUCAUGGGAGAUGUGCACAUCUAGUGGCUUUAAUAUAAUGACGGACACUCCCGUCUCUGGCCGCAUCAAUACAUGACCCUCCACUUGCAAACACACUCAGGUCUUAACAAGACCCCUAAGACCUCAUCAGACCACAACAGAGAGCUCCAAGUUCAUAUCUCAUGAUCUAAUCAGACACAGAUAUAGAUUAGGUUGUGGAUGCCUCUCUCCUUAAUCCAGAGAUGAGUGAACUAAAGGUCAUUAUCUGUUUCUAUAUGUGGCAGUGAGAGGACCAGGACAGCUAUUAUAAAGGGGAGGGGACAUGAUGCACAUAGAAGUCACUGGUCCAUGGCAGUUUAGAAAGCCAGGUGAUCACUUGUUGGUAAAAGGACCCUGUUCAGCUGGGCCCAGGAAAUCCUCUUGCUUAGGCCUAGUUCUGUUCCUUAAAACACAACUGUAGUUCUCUAAUUCAGGGCUUUACAUGUUUCUUUGUUCCACCCUCUGGAAAUUUUCUUUCCAAAACAUCACCCCCGCCCCUUAGAAAUAGGCCAUGUUGUCCCCUGAGCUGCGUUCCUGCCUCCUGACCACUGCAGGAAGUUGAGAGCCCCACCAGUCACUUUUCUUUUUUAAUGACAUCUGCCCCCUGUUAGCCCAAACGGACACAGCCCCUUCUGCAAACCCAACAGUCACCCUCUAUUUCAAAAGCCACCCUCAUGAUUCCUUUUGAGAGAACCACAGGCCAAGUGCCCAGCCACAGGGAGGUGACACGCACAAGUCCUCUUAGAGGUGCUCCUUUCUAGCCCAGGCAACAUGCUCAGCGGAGUUCUUCCAGGGUCUUCACACAGGAUCUGUGACCACAUCCUUAUUUUCCUCUUUUCCCUGAGGCCAUUUCUUACUUUGAGAGUCUUUUGCCAGCUAGAGAGCCUAGAAAUGUAACAGUUUUAUUUUCCAACCCAAUAAGUCUGGAUUGGAAAUUCUGCUUGCAUAGUGAGUAGAUCUUUCUUUAGCUCACUUUCAUCCUCCCAUAUCUAAUCAUAUGGAGCUAACAGAAGCCAAUUGGCACUUUCCAUAUUCUGCCUAGAAACCUUAUCUGCAUACCUAGGUUAAUUUGGUUCAUUUUCUAUCUUCUGCAGUCUCGCCACUUGUUCUUACUAUAAAACACGGGUCGCCAUCUUUUAAGCCCCCGGUACUGGUUUUAUCGCUGCCUUCCAGCCCCCAGUAAUGAGCUCCUCAGUGCCCUGGCAGCCUCUGCAGCUGCACCUUCCUGAAGCCAGUGCCACAUGCUCCAGGGCUUUGUCACAGCCCGCCCUAUUUCCAGACCACUUUCUGCUCUAGCCCUCUAUUGCUGCAAAACAAAGCACCCCAGAAUGGGAUGAUGCAAAGCACCGCACAGAUCUGACAAAUCAGUAUUACCACUGUUAUUUCAGAGGACAUUCAAUCCCAAGAUAUAAAAAGUGCUCUGCUUUGUGUGCCUGGUAGAAAAGAGAGUGAGCACAAAACUAUUAACAUCGCUCACUGGUUUUGGAUUGUGAACUUGAGAGUCCAAUUAGAAGCUUUCAGUGUCUUCCCUCUCAAACAAAAGGCAGGCUGCAGCACAACUGAGGAAAUGGAAUCCAUUGAAGACGUGUUCCUAAUUAGCUGAUUGAGACUGCAUUUCCUGGAGACUCCGCAAAGGUGAUCGUUUUGCCUUUGCUCCUGUCAGUGGAUUUCAGCAACAAAUAUCAGGCAGGGACCUGGAAGCAAUGGUGCCAGUGUCUUUCCUGCCACCAUUGCUGCGUGACCUCAGGCAGGUGGUCUGGAGGGUGUGCUCUUUGUCAGGGGCAAGGUCAUGCCAUCUGCUCUUCGUCGUCUCUCCUAACCUUAUCCACAACAACAGAAUCAUGCAAGCCUUUAAACACGUCUCAGCUUGUGUGUGCAUCUACCUAAAAAUUUCAUUUUACUCUCGGAGCAGUUGUGUACAGACAAGAUGGACGGACGCCAUGCUUCUGGACAUAUUCUGAGUGACUACUUGAAAAUCUCUCCAAAGACAUGAAAGCAGAAAGCACACUUUCUGCUGACAAAGGAACUCAACUCUGCAAAUUGCCAGUGCAGUUUAUUUUUGAGUAGGUUGAUUAUUACUAGAUGAUGGUGAUGGUGGCUUAUCAGACAGGAGACUCGAACUCAGGAGGUCUCUAUGACCUUAUUAGAGAGAACAUCACUUAACAACAAACACAACAGCAGAGUUCUCUUUCUGGAGUGACUAUUUGAAACAUUAUGAUCUUGAUCAAAGUAACUUAAUUAUACUGGGCUUUACCUUUUCAAUCUACUAAAGAGUAAAAGAGCUGUAUAUUGUUAUAUAUUAUGUAUAUAUUGUAUAUUAUAGGCUGGUGUUAAAAUUUGAGAACUGAUUUUAUUUAUAAAUUUAAUUCUUUUUAUUAAAAUUUCUUAAAUGUAAAACAAGAAUAAAUGUAAGGGGAGUGUUUUUAUUCCAUAUUAUACCAAAUUAUUUUGAAAAAUCAGUAGAUAUUAGCAUUAUUGGCUAAAUAUAUUUAUAAUAUUUUACAUAUAUAAUGUAAUAAAUUUCAUUAUAUUAGUAAAAUAUAUGGUAAAAAUAUAGUAAUACAAUAUUUUAGCUAAUAUAUAAAACUACAUUAAUAUAAUAAUUGAUAUAGUAAUAAAAUAUAUAAUAUUAGAAUAUCGUAUACAUUAAUAUACAAUGUAACAACACAUUGAUUUAUUAUAUUAAUGUGAUAUAUAAUCAUAUAUAGUUACAUUUAAUAUUAUAUUAAAUAGUUUAUAUGUUAUGAAGGUGUAUCUCUAUAUAGACAGAUAAUUGUAUCUUUAAAAAUAUAUUAAGUGGUCAGGCACAGUGGUGCACACCUGUAAUUCCAGAAGCUCAGGACACUGAGAUAGGAGGAUCGUGAGUUCAAAACCAGCCUCAGCAAAAGUGAGGCACUAAGCAACUCCGUGAGACCCUGUCUCAAAAUAAAAUACAAACUAGGCUGGGGAUGUGGCUCAGUGGUCGAGUGUCCCUGAGUUCAAUCCAUAACCCCCUGAAAAAAAAAAUAUAUAUAUAUAUAUAUUUACCAUGUAAUAUAUAUAUAUAUAUAUAUAUAUAUAUAUAUUACAUGGUAAAUAUUCUGCAAUUUAAUGAUUAAUUAUAUCAAAUUUGACUUUAAAUACAGGCAUAAUAGCUAAAUUCAAAGUACCCAUAUUUUCUUUAUUUCUAUUGUUUCUUAUUUAAUUGCAAUCCUUUCUAUUAUUCAUUUAUAUAUUUAAAUUUUUUAAAAUAACAAGUGUAAUAGUUUUCAUAUACAAAUUACUACCUACAUGUUUGACUACUUUGGUGGAAUAGCUACCUGGAAGUUUCUGGAAUUACUGGGCUGAAGUUAUGAAUUUGAUACAAAUUGAAGAUUCAUUUUAAGGAUAGUUUAUAAAUUUGCACCAAUUUGUGCCUUUUCCAGUUAAGUGAAAGAAUUAUUUUCCCAGGGCAUGCUCUCUAACAUGAAGUAAGAUGUUGCCAAAGAUAUUUUUAAUUUGUAUUGCAAAACAGUCCUUUCUUACUUUAAUUUGCACAGAUAAUCAUCAUAGGACUGCACCAUCCGAAGCAGGAGCCAGUGUCUACACGAGUCACACUUAACUUCACUAAAAUGAAAUAAAAUAGAAGUCAGACCUUGACUGCACUAGCCAUACUUCACAUGCUCACAGGUCGUAUUUGGUGACCCCAACACCAAGCAAAACAGAAGGGGACAUUUCCAUUGCUGAAAACUGUGUGCUACCAGAGAGCCCGGGCUGCACCUUUACGCUCUCGUCAGCUAGUUAUGAUCAUCCACUUUCAACCACAAAGCACAGAUGGACACACCACUCAAUUCUGCUUAAAGACUGAAAAUAAAAAGGUAAUUCAUCAGC
rnacentral:lncRNA from 1 species